GACGGAGGAUGCAAGUGUUAUCCGGAAUCACUGGGCGUAAAGCGUCUGUAGGUGGUUUAAUAAGUCAACUGUUAAAUCUUGAGGCUCAACCUCAAAAUCGCAGUCGAAACUAUUAGGCUAGAGUAUAGUAGGGGUAAAGGGAAUUUCCAGUGGAGCGGUGAAAUGCGUAGAGAUUGGAAAGAACACCGAUGGCGAAGGCACUUUACUGGGCUAUUACUAACACUCAGAGACGAAAGCUAGGGUAGCAAAUGGGG
rnacentral:rRNA from 1 species